UUUGCGUCGAAGGUAUACCGGUAAGGAGUGCUGGAGCGAAUAGAAGUGAGCAUGCAGGCAUGAGUAGCGAUAAUUAAUGUGAGAAUCAUUAACGCCGUAAACCCAAGGUUUCCUACGCGAUGCUCGUCAUCGUAGGGUUAGUCGGGUCCUAAGUCGAGUCCGAAAGGGGUAGACGAUGGCAAAUUGGUUAAUAUUCCAAUACCAACAUUAGUGUGCGAUGGAAGGACGCUUAGGGCUAAGGGGGCUAGCGGAUGGAAGUGCUAGUCUAAGGUCGUAGGAGGUUAUACAGGCAAAUCCGUAUAACAAUACUCCGAGAACUGAAAGGCUUUUUGAAGUCUUCGGAUGGAUAGAAGAACCCCUGAUGCCGUCGAGCCAAGAAAAGUUUCUAAGUUUAGCUAAUGUUGCCCGUACCGUAAACCGACACAGGUGGGUGGGAUGAGUAUUCUAAGGCGCGUGGAAGAACUCUCUUUAAGGAACUCUGCAAAAUAGCACCGUAUCUUCGGUAUAAGGUGUGGUUAGCUUUGUAUUAGGAUUUACUCCGAAAGCAAGGAAACUUACAACAAAGAGUCCCUCCCGACUGUUUACCAAAAACACAGCACUCUGCUAACUCGUAAGAGGAUGUAUAGGGUGUGACGCCUGCCCGGUGCUCGAAGGUUAAUUGAUGGGGUUAGCAUUAGCGAAGCUCUUGAUCGAAGCCCGAGUAAACGGCGGCCGUAACUAUAACGGUCCUAAGGUAGCGAAAUUCCUUGUCGGUUAAAUACCGACCUGCAUGAAUGGCGUAACGAGAUGGGAGCUGUCUCAAAGAGGGAUCCAGUGAAAUUGUAGUGGAGGUGAAAAUUCCUCCUACCCGCGGCAAGACGGAAAGACCCCGUGGACCUUUACUACAGCUUGACACUGCUACUUGGAUAAGAAUGUGCAGGAUAGGUGGGAGGCUUUGAGUAUAUGACGCCAGUUGUAUAUGAGCCAUUGUUGAGAUACCACUCUUUCUUAUUUGGGUAGCUAACCAGCUUGAGUUAUCCUCAAGUGGGACAAUGUCUGGUGGGUAGUUUGACUGGGGCGGUCGCCUCCCAAAUAAUAACGGAGGCUUACAAAGGUUGGCUCAGAACGGUUGGAAAUCGUUCGUAGAGUAUAAAGGUAUAAGCCAGCUUAACUGCAAGACAUACAAGUCAAGCAGAGACGAAAGUCGGUCUUAGUGAUCCGGUGGUUCUGUGUGGAAGGGCCAUCGCUCAAAGGAUAAAAGGUACCCCGGGGAUAACAGGCUGAUCUCCCCCAAGAGCUCACAUCGACGGGGAGGUUUGGCACCUCGAUGUCGGCUCAUCGCAUCCUGGGGCUGGAGCAGGUCCCAAGGGUAUGGCUGUUCGCCAUUUAAAGCGGUACGCGAGCUGGGUUCAGAACGUCGUGAGACAGUUCGGUCCCUAUCUGCCGUGGGCGUAAGAAGAUUGAAGAGAUUUGACCCUAGUACGAGAGGACCGGGUUGAACAAACCACUGGUGUAGCUGUUGUUCUGCCAAGAGCAUCGCAGCGUAGCUAAGUUUGGAAAGGAUAAACGCUGAAAGCAUCUAAGCGUGAAGCCAACUCUAAGAUGAAUCUUCUCUAAGCUCUCUAGAAGACUACUAGUUUGAUAGGCUGGGUGUGUAAUGGAUGAAAGUCCUUUAGCUGACCAGUACUAAUAGAGCGUUUG
rnacentral:rRNA from 1 species